GAUGAACGCUGGCGGCGUGCCUAAUACAUGCCAGUCGAGCGAACGGACGAGAAGCUUGCUUUUCUGAUGUUAGCGGCGGACGGGUGAGUAACACGUGGAUAACCUACCUAUAAGACUGGGAUAACUUCGGGAAACCGGAGCUAAUACCGGAUAAUAUUUUGAACCGCAUGGUUCAAAAGUGAAAGACGGUCUUGCUGUCACUUAUAGAUGGAUCCGCGCUGCAUUAGCUAGUUGGUAAGGUAACGGCUUACCAAGGCAACGAUGCAUAGCCGACCUGAGAGGGUGAUCGGCCACACUGGAACUGAGACACGGUCCAGACUCCUACGGGAGGCAGCAGUAGGGAAUCUUCCGCAAUGGGCGAAAGCCUGACGGAGCAACGCCGCGUGAGUGAUGAAGGUCUUCGGAUCGUAAAACUCUGUUAUUAGGGAAGAACAGAUGUGUAAGUAACUGUGCACAUCUUGACGGUACCUAAUCAGAAAGCCACGGCCAACUACGUG
rnacentral:rRNA from 1 species